GGGAAAACUUAGAGCCCCGAGGGCGGAGUGUUAAUAGUUGCGUCUUUGGCCGGGCACAACGGUUAGUGAAUC
rnacentral:ncRNA from 1 species